rnacentral:tRNA from 1 species
GCCGGGAUGUCGUAAUGGGUAGCCGAGACAGACUUAAAAUCUGUUGGACAGUAUUGUCCGUGUGGGUUCAAGUCCCACUCCCGGUA